UCAGUUGAGUAAUCGAGUCCAUACAUCAUAAAUGUUUGUCUCGUGUCAAAAAGUUAGUGACAAUUCAAGCCAAAUGAUUAGGAGUGGUGCUAGUAGCCACUUGAAUCUGUGACUAGCUGAGUAACCAAGUCUAUUCAUCACAAAUAUUUUCCCUCACGUCAAAAUGUUGUUGACAAUUCAAGCAAACAAAAGUGCUUAAGUCACGCACAGAUAAAUUUAUUAUUUUUAGCAUGAACCAAUUGCAUGAAAUCUUUAUACUUGAUAGGUUUUGUGGUUGUUCUGCUGGGUAUUAGCUAUUUCUCUUUAUGAAAUUUUUUUUGCAGAACUCUUAUGUUGUGUCUUGAUAUUGGUUAAAAUGGUUGUUCAUUUAUGUGGUUGUAUGGAAACUCAUUCUAUGAACUGUUAGUUGAUGGUCAUUCUUCCAAUUAUGAAAAUCGAGAUGUUACGUAUUGAGUUGAGAUGGAAUUGAUGGGAAUGGUUGGGUUAGAAGUGAAGAGUUGGGAAUUGGUGAUUCUUAUGAAAUUCUUGAGGGCAAGCACAAGAUAAAUGUGAGGGAGUUUGAUAAUGCAUAAAAACAUCAUCUUCAUUAUCCAUUUUAUAGUGCUUAAUUGGGAUAAUUGCUAUUUGAUCUAAGUUAUUCCAUUUAUUUUGAUGCAAGAAAAGAGAUGGAGGGCAGAACUAGGGAAAGCAACAUAAAAAUGGGUAGAAUUUGUGAAGAAGUUGUCAGACUAGGAAUAAGCCUUACCCAAAGCUUAAGCCUAGCAAGCAGCGACAACCCUUGUUCUUGUUCACUCAAGCCUCAAGUAAGGCUAAGGUAUUAGCAGGAUUAUAACUCGCGGAUUCGCUCAAGCCAACCUCGACCAAGGCUUACAUCUCAAUAAUAGGAAAAAUCACAACUAACCCUUUGGCACAAUUAACACCAAGGCAAUAAUACUCGACCAAGCCUUUGUCAAGGCUUAGGUCACAUGCAACUACUGACUUCACAUAAAAAGGGCGUGCUCUUGAGAUUUAACAAAGAGAAUCCCACCACAACUGGGAUUGACAACUAAAAAUCAAUGGGAAGAUGAUUUGGAAAGCAAACUAAGUGCCAAAAUCAUUGGAGGAAUCCCAAAAGGAAGCAUUAAUCCUUUUUUGCUAUAAAAAAGGCUGCCAAAUAGAAAACAACAAUCAUUUUUUUCCUCACACUGCCCACUGCAGUCCUUGCAAUUUUUCUACAUUUUUCUGCUCCCUCUUUCCAUUAUUCAGAAUAAACUUUGUGUUGUAUUAAGACUCACCAUGAGUGGUUAGACAAUUUUUCUUUUCCCAGUUAAUUGAUUUAGUGAAACUUGAAUUUGAAUUGUGAGAUAGAAUUGAGUUGAUUCUAAUUUUUUUUCAAAGCAAGUAUUUGUUUAUUUCUCUACGUAUAUACAUAUUAAUAUUACUAACCGUUUGAAUAAGACACGUUGGACGCAUGACACAAUAAUAUACAACCAUUCGAGGUAGCUCAAAUCUGUAAUUAUUUGAGCUGAGGCUGUAUCAAUGGCGAUAAGUUUUGGAUUAAGGGAACAAGCAAUUUGGCUGACUGUUUCAUGCAGAUGAAUCUGACAAUUUGAAUCAGGUCCUUCUCAUUUUUAAGGCUAUUGUAAAUUAAAUUCCAAGGAUGUUCCCAAGGUUGUUUGAUCAAUGAGAACCAAUUAAUGAACGUUUCUCGACUGGUUUAAAAUUGAGGAAGAAUUGGUUAGAACAUUUUCGAUAACUAAAACUAUUUUGUUGCAUUUUGAUAAUAUUUAUUUUUGCAUUAGUGAUCAAUUACAUAAUUAGAGUGUAGCUAUUUUAUUGACUAGGAAUGCUUGCAUAAUUGAUUAUUCUACAAUUUCUACCCAUGAUUUUAUUUCUUUAAAUCUAGACUUAUUUAGAUUAAACACUUUUUGUUAUCUAUUCCAUUCAAAGGAAGAAAAUUACCCGUUUUAAUUCUGUUAAAACUAGUCACAAAGAGAAAAAAAUAAUCCUCGGUUCCUUAUGGAAUCAACUCUGAUUGCCACUACUAUAAUUCAAUAUUAUUGGAAAAUAUGAUUUUAUCUUUGGUGGAUUCGGCACCCAUCAGGAUGACUCUUAUUAGUAGAUAAU
rnacentral:lncRNA from 1 species